rnacentral:piRNA from 2 species
UGAGUUGGGAUUGCUUCUCCUGUU